CAUGUACUCCCUCCGUCUGGAAAUACUUGUCAUCAAAAUGAAUAAAAAGAAAUAUAUCUAGAACUAAAAUACAUCUAGAUACAUCCCCUUUUAUUUAAUUUGAUGACAAGUAUUUCCGGACGGAGGGAGUAUGUC
rfam:Triticum aestivum genome assembly, contig: Triticum_aestivum_CS42_TGACv1_scaffold_226043_3B